rnacentral:rRNA from 1 species
GACGAACGCUGGCGGCGUGCCUAAUACAUGCAAGUCGAGCGGACUUGAUGAAGUGCUUGCACUUCUGAUGGUUAGCGGCGGACGGGUGAGUAACACGUAGGUAACCUGCCUAUAAGACUGGGAUAACAUUCGGAAACGAAUGCUAAUACCGGAUACGCGAAUUGGUCGCAUGGCCGAAUUGGGAAAGACGGAGCAAUCUGUCACUUAUAGAUGGACCUGCGGCGCAUUAGCUAGUUGGUGAGGUAACGGCUCACCAAGGCGACGAUGCGUAGCCGACCUGAGAGGGUGAUCGGCCACACUGGGACUGAGACACGGCCCAGACUCCUACGGGAGGCAGCAGUAGGGAAUCUUCCGCAAUGGACGAAAGUCUGACGGAGCAACGCCGCGUGAGUGAUGAAGGUUUUCGGAUCGUAAAGCUCUGUUGCCAGGGAAGAACGCUUGGGAGAGUAACUGCUCUCAAGGUGACGGUACCUGAGAAGAAAGCCCCGGCUAACUACGUGCCAGCAGCCGCGGUAA